rnacentral:lncRNA from 1 species
UUUAAUUUACUAAUAUCAGGUUCAUUGUUGUCAAAAACCUGUAGAACCUCAUCUCUGGCACGAGCCUGCCAAUCAAAAUGUUGACUCAAUAAAAUUAAUGUCCAGGCGAGCAAUCCUGAGGUUGUCUCUUGUCCAGCCAAAUAGAAUAGCUUGCACUCCUCAAUGACUUCUUCAAGGCUCAUGCAGUUCUUAUUUCCAUGUUGUCGGAUCUCAUUAAAAUUGGAUUCCAAUAAAAUACGCAACAAGUCAUCACUUGUAGCUUCACCUGUUUGAAUUUCCUUCAGCCUUUCGUUGAUAUUGCCCAUAACUAAUGAGUUUACUUCCUUGAAAAUCUUCUGCAUUCUUUUGUUUCUUUCUGUUGGCACAAAACUGAAUGCAAAAUAGCAAUAACCAAAUAAGCUAAAUGAUACAAUUACAAACUAGAAAUUGAAAGACAGUACCGUACCUCCACCCUGGAAGGCAAAUGGAUUGCAUAACUUGCUCAAUAUACAAAGCCUGUUCUCUUUGGAGUUCAAAGAUCCUUCGCCCUUUUUCAUGGUUGCUACCAAAAGCUGUUCUUGAAAUUACAUCACCAGUAAAUGUUUGAAGAUAAGGCCACACAUCUAAUUCAAAAGAUCCUUCUGCGGGGGCAAGGUUCUCCCAUUUGCUUAACAUCUCAUUACAACUCAGAUAAAAUGCUGGCACCAUGUACUAUAUGUGAAGAAUCAACAGCGCAAGUCUUCCAGCUUUUAUGUUCUUCAUUAAUCAAAAAGUAAGAAUGGAAAUAUUAUUCAGUGAAAUUUUAAAAUUGGAAAGGCUGCAUUUGGUUCUCUAUCCGGACUAGAUUGGAACCAUAACUACAUUUAUAUGAUGCAAUACCAAACACUAGCCAGUCCCAUGUCUGAUAAAUAACAAGAAACGGCCAAAAGCGUGUAAGAUAUUGAAACAGCACCAAAUUUCAGCAGAAAAAGCUAGAAACAACCUUCAAUUUCUCUACAUGAAAUGCAGGAUUCAAUAAUCUUCUGUGUUUGGCCCAUUUUUCUGUAUCCAGGCUAGCAAGUCCUAGUGCUAGAAGUUUACUGAAUGGAUUUGCCCGAGGCUUCUGAUAAGUAAAAUAUUUUGCGAAGACCUCCUUUACUUGUUCAGGAUCCAAGAUAACCAUUGCCGGCCUUGGUCCAAGCCAAAAAAAGCUAUUUUUACCUACAAAAUAAUUUUUGAUAAGCAACUUAUCCACUCUUUAAAAAAAAAGAUUGGGUCAACCCAUAUAUGAAAUGCAUGAUUGCCGAAAAACACAGCAAACCAAAUAGUCUUCGGGCAAAUUUGGAGAACAAACCUUUAUGUUGCAUUGUUUCAUUGAUGAAGGGCAUGAUUCUAGGCAAGAUAUCAUCUGUUAAAGAAAUUGGUUUGGACUUAGCCUCCUCAAGCAUCCUUCCCAUGUCUCUGGUGUCUCCAAACAAGAACCCGUAAGAGUUUCCCUGUAGACCUUGCCGCCUGAGGCGUUUCUCCAUCUUCUUUGGUGUGAUCCAAGCCCAAUUCAAGAAUCUCCAUGCCCCGAUGAGAAGAACUAUGACUGAUGAAGCUCCAAUCGAGCUAUAGAAAAAUUCCAUUUUCUCUGAUGCGCUUCCACUCCUUCAGUCAAACUUUCUGCUGGCAGGGGGAACUUGCUAAGCGGUUAGUUAUUAAGGACGGAGAACCUCAACUUUGGGACACAUCAUUCUGAAAUCUAUGCAUAUCCAUCUGUAAAAUCGGUAAAGACAAAGUAGCUAUAAGUCAUAAUUUGUGCUAAAUUUAUAAUUAUUUUUUCCUUUGAUUUUAAUCAAAUAUUAUUUUAAUUGAUAUAUUCUACUAAUAUUUGGUAUUUGGGAUUAAUUGCAGGAAGUGGUGAAGAAAAAGUACCGAAAAUCGUCAUUCCAGCAGAUUUCCUAUAGUUUGGCGUGCCCACGCCUAACUCCAGCUUUGACGGAUUUUCGGGAUGAUUUGCACACGCGAAAGCUUCCAAAACUAAAUAAAGCAGCGGACUACAAUGCUGAAAAGCAGUGGGGCCAUUUCAAAAGCUGAAGAAAGCUAUCUAUAAUAGGAUUCCUAUUGUUUAGGAAAAUCGGUACAUUUUGAAGGAGAGAAAUCAGGAUGGGAAUCUGUUUGUUCUCUCGGUGGGCCUGGCCUAAAAGGAAAUGGAUUUCCUUCAUCCCUUUGAGUGGCUAAAAACGUAGAGGAUUAGGAGACUUAGGGAGGCUUGUCUUUAAAUUUGUUUUUACUUGGAAAAGCUGGGGGGAAGGUACGGAGGUCGGGGACUUUUCCUCGUAGCCGACUUUUACUUUUCUUCCUUGGCCGAUUUGGCCAGGAACAAUUUGGUAAGAUUCAGAUAGCUUUUUCGCAUGGUUGUUCUCCGUUAAUGGAGAACUAACCUUCUAAUUCUAGUCAAAGGACAACUGAAGAUUUGGUUCUGUAAUUACUAUGAGAUCGAAUUUAUUUUAAUCGCUUUCUCAUUUAUUGGUAUUUAUAUGAUUCCUGUUUUUAAUUGUUAUAACUCUUGUGUAUGAUUGAUUAGUGCGCAAUAAUUAAUUAUUCAUAUAGGUUAUUUUGCUAAAUAGGGGUAAUUGAAUCCGUAAUUGUUCGUUACCUCUAUCCCAGUAGCAAUUGGCGUAAUUGGGUUUAUGUCAGGGAAACAUACGAUCUAAUUUAAACAAAUCCUCUUAGCGUGUUUGUAGGUUAGGAUUGGGCCUUUCUAAUUUUUAAUGCAAUCUAGAAAUUAAAUCCUACGGUCGUACCUAGGAUUGUUUUUGGGUUAGGGAAAUAGUUAACGGUCGUACCUUAGCUAUCGAUAAAUUAAGGAAGGGUUGGUUGUUUAUCGCGUGCAUGACAACUAUAACCAAUCUAUUAAUAAAUGUGGAAUUAUCUGCGAAUCGAUGAUCAGUGCAUGAACCAUUUCUGAAGUGUACCCUUGACUAGAGUUUCUUUUACUUAUUUCUCUUAAUCAAUUAUUUUCUGCAGUUAAUUUAUUUAGUUAGUAUUUGAUCCAAAAACCCCCAUACUUUGGACUCUAGAAGAAACGAAUUAUUCCCAGUCCCUGUGGAUUCGACCCUACUCACCGCUAUAUACAAAAUCUGUAUUUUUCUCGAGUAGGUUUUUAUUAUUGCACAGGUUCGGCACCUGUCAGUAGCUUGAAGGUAUGUUCUAUGUUUACGGCAUCUGCAUAAAUGGAGAUGCUCUGCGACUUCAACACUCACCUAUAAAGGACAUUUGAGCCCUUAAUAUUCUUGUUUAUGGUAAAAUGAUUUUUCUACUCGUUCACUUAAAUUACGCUUAAUUUACUAUAUGAACACACAUAAUACAAUUAUUAUAUCCUCUGUAUUUAAACGCUUUCCUAGUAACUACACUUUUUUUUUAAAAGAAAAAUUAGCACUCUUGAGGCCCCCCUAACAGAGGUGACGAUAAAGGAGAACAAAUCAACAUAGCUCGAUUAUCCUGCAAGCCUCGCAAAUCAUCAUCAGAAGUCUUUUUCUAUCUGCCUUCUAGAAGAGAGUCAGUUCAAUAAACAAAGUGCCCUAAUGUAAUAGAUGCAGAUUAGGAGUAUCAAAGUCUUUUUCAUUUAAAAAUAGCAAGAGAAAUUCAAGGGUUUGCAAAUUAGCUAAACAAAGUGCUGCAAAUUGAUAGCACAAGGUACAGAGGUCCUAAAACUGAUAAUUGAAGAUAGUUUAGGGGAAAAUGUUGCAAUAAGCUUUGGAUGUAAUUUUAAAUACUUGAGCAUGAGAAGGUCGCAUGUUACAGUCUUGACUCUCAAUGGUUUGGAAACAAAAAGAUCAAUGUGAAAUUUGUUUUUGAUCAACUGCAUCCUCUAAUGCGGUUCAUUAAUAAACAUAAUAAGAAAUCCCAGAACAUUAACAUUUGUCCUUUUUAACCUAUUAACAUUAAUACUUUGCAAAAUAGCAAUAACUCCAAAAUCUUCUUGUAAUUGCACCAAAAGUUUGUUAAACCUUACAGAAGCAGCAACCUAAAAGGCUAGCAAGAUAAGCAACAUGUAGCAAUUACAGAAGUUCAGUCACAUAAUCAAUAACACACAGACAUAGUUCAAGUCCUGGAUUCAGAUAACAGUUUUAUAUUACAGUUUCUUCAUAAUCAACUGAGCACCAUACUGAGGUUGAAGCAGGGUACGAAACAAGUAUGGGGCAUGCGUAUACAAUGGAGAAAGCUCAAAGGAAAAGCGCUGUAAAAUUAGAGCUAAUGCCAUAUUUGCUUCAAGCAGAGCAAAGUUUUGCCCAAUGCAUAUCCGAGGUCCCCCACCAAAUGGCAGAAAACACUGCUGGCCCUUAGUAGCCUUUGCAACUCCCUCGCUAAAUCUCUCCGGGUUGAAUUCCUUUGCAUCAUCACCCCAUAAACUUGGAUCAUGAUGUAGCAAGAUUGAAGGCAUCAAGACAAUCAUUCCAGCAGGUGGAGAUAGUUCCCCUAAUUUAGUGUCUUGGUUAACCCUCCGGGAAAUCAUAACUCCUGGUGUAUAUAGUCUUGGAACCUCAUUAAGGAUCAUAGUCACCUGUAAAAGAAGAAUUACAAACCGAUGCUUAAAUGGAGUGUGAACUUCGUUCCAAGAGAAGAAAAUUGUAAGAUAAGUAUCCAGACAAUGUCAACUAAUAGCUGGUCCCUACUAGAAAGCAGAAACAUUACACUACACUCGGAUAUCGUUGUGCUUCAGGUAAUGGCAAAAGUAAAACGUGUCCUGAGUGAAUGGAAUGUUAAGCUAUGAUAUUCCUUAUGAAGUCUUCUGCAUCCGAACCCACGAAACUAAUUAUUCAUCAAAAGAGAACCUAAAAAACAAGUCUGAAAUGUGGCCAACAUUCAUGAUAUUCGAGUUUAGUCACUGCAGAUUGGUGAUACAAAACUGAAAUUCUUGAAUAAUAUCAAACUAUUCUGUCAUCAGAGCUUAUCCUCUUGAUAAAUUGAAGCUACUUACAAUUUUCAGCCAAUUUAAAUCUUCAAAAUCCGGUAUAUUGUUGCCAAAGACCUGAAGAACCCAUCCCUAGCACGAGCUUGCCAGUCUGAAUGCUUGCUCAACAAAAUUAGCGUCCACACAAGCAGGAUUGCAGUUGUCUCAUGUCCAGCAAAAAAGAAUAGCUUGCACUCCUGAAUGACCUCUUCAGAAGUCAGUCCAAACCUUUCAUUCCCAUGUUCUUGGAUCUCCUUGAAGUUGGGUUCUAGAAGUAAACCCAACAAGUCACUAUGAAAAUUUUCUUCAUAUUUUUUGUUUCUUUUACGGAAUAUCUAGUAAUGUGAUAGGACGAUUUUCUGCAGCAAAUCAGCCUUGGAUUGAUCUCUUUAUAGAUUAAGAGAUGUCACAUGUUGGUUAUAAUCAUCCAAGUGAUGACCUCUCAUUACUAAAGGAGUUACUUCUAUUCUAAUAGUACUUUAAUGAUUAAUUGUAGUACUUCACACUUGAAUGAACAGCCACAAAUUUUGUUAUUUUGUGAACCUUGAGACCUUUCAUCUUUUGAAAAUCUCCAACAAAUUCAUGGUGAUUAAAAAUUUUGCAAAUAAAGUCAACUCAACUGAGAUAAUUAGAUUCUCUGUAGUUUAAUUUCUUCAACAAAUGUUUGACCAGGAAGAAAAAAUGGUGAGUAUAGCCUUAAAACCUCAUGCAAGAUCAUUGUGAUAUGUGAGAAAUGGAAGGAGACUACUUAAGACAAUUUAUUGGCAUAUGAGAAGCUGCAACCUAUCAUGAGUUGACUUAUAUCUUUUAGGUUAAAAGUUCUUUUACGUACAAUAUGCCAUGGAUUUUGGUAUAUAAUUGACUGAAAAUCUUUUAGGUUAUACAGACCAUCAAAUUGUGAUAUUUUUGGUCCCAGCAAUGUGUUGCAAAAUCUAUUCUCUAGCACGUUCUUGCUAGUCUGGGCAGAUGCUGAAUACAACAGCUUACACUCUUCAAUAAUUUCUCUUGUAAUCGCACAGAAUUUCGUCUUGUCUAAGCUGCAUUGGAGAUCCACUUACCACGAAGAAAUAUUUUUGAAUACUAGCUAAUAAGAUUUACAGACUACUGAUUAAUGUUUGAGAACAGCUGUUAAAUGAUUUUAAGCCAUGACAAGCCAUUUGUUUUCUCCAUUAUCAAAGAAAAAGGAAAGAUCUCUUGCAAAAUUAAACAAGCAGAUGUAAUAUUUCUCUCUUAAUUUGCCGUGAGAAAUACAUUACGUGAAUCUGUACUGCUAUAUUCAUACAGAUCCAUUGACAUACCGAACUGGGCGGGACUUAAACUAGUUUACAAGCAAAGUUAAGCAUAGAAGAUGGUGCUUUAUUUCGUUAAAAGAUAAUCUGCUGCCACAUACCGGGCUAGCAAGUCAAGUCAUAUAUAUGAAACAACAAAAACUAUAUUAUCUUCUGCAAAAUCAAGUGAGCUCCAUACUGGGGUUGAACUACUGCUGUAGCUCUUCCAGGAGCAUGAGUAUAAGAUGGUGAGAGUUCAAAGGAGAAGCGAUGCAGAAUCAUAGACAUUGCCAAUUUUGCUUCCAACAUGGCAAAAUUUUGUCCAAUGCAAAUGCGAGGUCCCCAGCCAAAUGGAAAGUAUGCAACCUGGCCCUUUGUUGCAUGUGAUACUCCUUCAGCAAACCUCUCAGGCUUGAAUUCUUUCACGUCCUCGCCCCAUAUAUCAGGGUCAUGAUGCAUCAGCAUUAUUGGCAACGUGAUUUGCACUCCAGCCGGGAGAGUUAAAUUUCCUAAUUUAGUUUCUUGAGUAGUUCCUCGACUCAUUAUAGGCACUGGUGGAUACAACCUUAAAACCUCAUGCAAGAUCAUGGUGACCUAUGAGAAGGGGACCAAAAAAAAAAUGUGAGCGUAAUUGGGAUGUCUAUGUAGAUGAGAAGCUUCGAUGAACUUCGUUAGUAUGUCUCUCCUGCCAUUAGUGCAAUUUUCAAAUCAAUGAAAUGAUCAUUGCUAAUUUUAUGUUUUUCAAAGAAAAAGAUUGGCUUACAAUUUUGAGGUGAUUUAACCCCUCAAAGUCCGGAUCCUUAGUUCCAAAUUGUUGCAGGACCUCCUCUCUAGCACGUGCCUGCCAUUCGGGGUACCUGCAGAGUAAGACCAUUGUCCAAACGAGUAGCCCUGAAGUAGUCUCCUGGCCAGCCAAAUAGAACAGCUUGCACUCAUCAACAAUUUCUUCGGUAGUCAUACCAAAGUCCUUGUUUCCAUGCUUCUCGAUUUCUUGAGAAUUGGAUUGAAGCAUUAAUCCCAACAAGUCAUCAGAGCCGGCUUCUCCUGCUCUCAUUGCCUUUCUUCUUGUGUUGAUCAUUUCCCUUACUGAACCAUUAACUUCUCUGGUAAUUUGUUUCAUUCUUCUGUUCCUCUUGGUUGGCAAGAACCUAACAAAGAUCAUAGUUUAGCCAAAAAAAAAAAAAGCAAGAACAAACUAUGUUUGCAGCAAUGUUUUUGGCUCCAUUUUUAAAUCACUUAGGCGCAUCUCAAAUGUUAAAAUGCCCAUCUAAGGCAGUCUUUCAUGAUUAUUGUCCAAUCAUGAUUUUCAAAGCAUUGAUUUCUAGGAGUCACAAUUUUCUACAGCGCUCAAGAAUUCAUGAUCAAUCUACCUAAAUCCUGGGAUGUUGAUGUACACCGACCGUGCUGCCUGCAUCAAAUGCUCAGUUUGCUCUCUCUGGAGCUCAAAGAUCCUUCUUCCUUCUUCAUAGUUGCUGCCAAAUGCUGUACGAGAAAUUGCAUCGCUGGUAAGAGCCUGAAGAUUGGGCCAAACAUCCACUUCAGCCAACCCCUUUGGUGAAAUAACAUUCUCCCAUUUCGUCACCAUCUCACUUGCACUUUUAUAGAAGGCUGGGAGCAUAAGCUGUUUAUCCAUAAAAUAAAAGAAAAUCAGUGAAAGAAACUACUCCACAUUGAAGGCUACUUAGUAAAUAAAUGAUGCAAUUUACCAAGGACUGUCCAAUGCAGAGAGUGUUUUCAAUUUUAGGAUAUAAUAAGUGUGUGUGUGUGAAUUUAUAUGAUAAUUUUACUAUAAUUUACUCGCACUAAUGAGUAUUUACAGGUCAUCCGUUCAAAAAAAAAAAGAUUAAUCUUUUCUACACUGUCAGUCAGUCAGUGUAUACACAGACGGAGUUGAAUGAAUACCACAUCAUAUGAAUUUGAAACCCCAUAAAAUGAUUAAAUUAGAGAGAAGAGAACCUUCAAUUUCUCAACGUGGAAAGCUGGGUUGAGGAGCUUUCUCUGUUUGGCCCAUUUUUCUCCCUCAUAGCUCACUAGUCCUAGAGCCAGUAAUCUGCCGAGUGGAUGAACACGGAGCUUCCGGAAAACAUCAACCUUUUGUGUAACUGCCUUUAUUAGAUUAGGGUCCAUGAUCACCACGGCAGGUCUCGGCCCAAACCAUAAAUAUGUAUUUUUACCUGGAAGUCAGAGCCGCUUGGAUUAGGAGCCCAAAACUGGAAAGUAUAAAUAGUUAAAUGCCUUCCACUAGGAAAGGAUAAUAAAAUCAAGUGUUUCAAAAAAUAAAAAUACAAGGCCAAAGUAUUAAAAUAAUUCAAGUUCUACAAAACUUUUUUUUUCUUUUUUUGCAUCAAUCAACCUAAUAAACUAUUUAAAGUGAUUCAAAAUCUUCGAUUAAGUUAACUGGAAAUCUAUUCAGAAUGUCAAGUACGAGCAAUUGUCAAGGAUAAAAUUGACAUUUCUUCUCAUCCACCUCCCUAAUCGACUAAAAUUCUUCAUUCUCAUCAAGUUAGCUCCCAAAACCUUGAGAAUUUGGUUUUAAACGAUUGGAAAAGAUGGAUGAGACAAAAUGUCAUUUUUGUUCCUGCCAAAUUGCACACAUCCAUUAGCUUGGCGGGAGAUGUUGACGGGAUGGACUGAUUGAAACUUUUGAGUACUAUAAUGGGUUAAUUGACUCAAAAAAAAAUGAAUGGUUUCUAUGAGAAUUUUUGUAGUUUGGGGGGUUAUAGUGCACUUUAUCGAAAAAAGAAUUGAAAAAAGAUUCACAAAGAUAGUAAAACAAACAAACCAAAAAUAGAAAUUAAAAGGAAACAAGAAAGGAAACUUGAAGUCUAAAGUUUAUUGGGAGCAUAGAUUUUUGUCGGAACUAAAAUAAUCCUCGUUUUGUUUAUUUGAUCAUUUGAUUGCUUAUUUAAUCUGAUCAUAAUUGAUUUCAAAUUCAAGAUUCAAUCUUCAUUGUCAAAUGACAUGCAUAAUUACUGAUAAUCAAUUAAUUAUUAGGAUGUCCAUAUUCUAGUAGGACGAAAUAAUAAAUAUCAGCUGUAUUGAGGCCCUUUAUGACAAUUCCAAGUUGUAAAACAAUAACAAACGGAAAAAAAAAUACAAAAAGACCAAGAAAAACGACCAUCCUAAAAUACAAAAGCUGAAAGGGAAAUCAUAUACCCUAAUACUAUAAUAUUACUCGUAUUUAAGCACGAAAUACAUCAGGAGGUAAAUGAUAUUCUAUCUAACCAAAAGCAGAAAAAAGGAAAAAAAAAAUGGAGAUCAUACGAGGGGCAAAAGAGGUUACGAGGCAAAGAGAUGGAAGCAGAGUUGACAAGAACAAUAAAUACUACCAUAUUUCUUAACGGCUCCAAGAUAUUGAGGAAUAACUCUUGGUACGAUGUCGUCGGAGAGAUUAAGAUUCUUGGAUUGGGCUUCUGUGUACAGGGUCGACAUCUCUUUGAAGUCUCCAUGGAGCAGCUUGUAAGGGUUUCCCCGGAAACCUUGCUCUUUCAGACGUUUCUCCAGCUUCUUCGGUCUAAACCAUACCCAGUUCAAAGCUUUCCAUGAUACUGCUACUACAAGAAGAAGAAGAAGAAGACAAGAAGAAUACACUGUAAACAUUGAUACAUAGGUGGCUUCCACGUGUUUUUUGUUUUGUUGGUUUUCUUGUGAGAUUUCUACCUUUGUUGUGUGCAUAUUUAUAUUCAAGUUGGGGCGAUGAUAACCUUGGUUUUGUGCGUCUGCACGGCUAUCCGUUUAUUACUUGAUUGACUCGGUACAAGUUUCUAUGUUACCAUGUGAUAAGAGAGUACAGGAGAAUUUGGAGCCUAUUUCUAUAUAUUUCGGAAUUUAGAGCGAAGUUUUUUUUUUUUUUUGGUGCAAUUGAGGACCUCCAAGCCAAUUUAAUUUAACUGGACCUUUAAGGCAAUUUAAUUAGAACAAUUUUGUCACAGAAUUAAAAGGAUAUUCGAACUUUGUAUAAACCCUAUCGGAAAAACAAACAUAGAGUGGAAAUUUUAAUUAAAGGAUAAAUUUUUAUGUGCUUUAAAAUGUUGAACAGUUAUUUUUUUUUUGGUAAGUAAAUUUCUGAACAAUUAUUUUUGUACAGAAUGACUAAUUUUGAUAACGUUUUAGCAAAACGUUAUAUGUGUUCAAAUCUCCUCUCUCCUUCCUCAUUUUUUAUAUCUCAUCCCUCCCUUUUUAAAAAAGUGAUACAUGUGUGAACAUAGAAGACGUGACAUUUAAAGCACAUAUAAACAACACUUUCAAAUGUGGAUAAUUCUUAAGUAUUUUUUUUAAAAAAAGAAUUCUCAAGUACACUAAACCUGGAAAAUUUUAUGAACAUGGCUGUAUUGAGUGUCGGAAUGAGGUGGAACUGAAUAAAAUUUAUGUGACAUUUAUGUGAGUUUUAGGUGGAAAUCAUGAGUUAUGAUUCGAUUAAACAAGACCAAACUUCAAUUAAGCAAUGCUAUUGAGGUGUAGUAUCAUGUAUUGAUUUAACCUUCAUAGCUUACUCGUAAUCAUUAUAUGAAAAAAAAAAAACUAAGAUGGGGCUACAAAAUUAGGAAAGAAUUUCGUGUUGAUUUGGAGUUAAAUAUCCAAAUCUCGUACUGUAGAACAAUUUCGAGCUUUUUGGUACGUGUAACAUAAACACAGUGUGUGACAGCUAAAGUGGACAGAGACAGCUUAGGAAAUUUGCACGGUUAGUAGAUGUCCCAGAAGACUAGAAGUCAAUUUCAACAAAUUGUUUAAGAUUGUACUAGCAACAACCAAGCUGUGUCAGCAGUUAUUGAAGGCAAGUCAUAAUGGGAGCAGGUAGAAGAAACUAUUGAAAGUGACAAGAGGUUGAAAGAGUAGAGCAUUAAUUAGCUGUGACACUGCGAUUAAUCAUUGGGGAUGGCUAGGGGAAGAUUUAUAGAGCCUCUCACUGUUAGAUUUAGGAAUUGAAUUGUGUGGCUGAAAAAUUCUCAUAUGCUAGAACGUGUUAGGGGGAAAAAAUUGCACUUAGAACAUGCAAGUAUUAUAUAUCUCAAAAUCAACACAAAAAGUGAAAAUCAUGAAUUCGCUAAAGAAAGAUAUGGAAUUUGCAAAAUCGAAUAUUUUAGACGAAAUCAAUCUUAAGUACAGGGUUAGCAUAAAUUUCAACAAUCCUCUGAUUUUAAUACCUAAAAAUUCAAUUAUUACAUGGGAAAAAUCUGGAACAUGGAAUGAGUCAAACUAUGUGUUUGGAUAGGAGAUUAUUUGACAUAUAAUUUUUGAAAAAAAUAUGCACAAUACUCUUUUUUGAUGUGAUGAAUAUAAGAUAAAAAAAAUGAUUGAAAAAUGUGUUGAUAAUGUAAACAAAUAAAUCUUACUAAAAAAAAGCAUUAUCCAAACAAAUAUACAAACUAGAUGACCUAUGCCAUGACGAUGGCAGAUAAUCUUUCUCGAGGAAAAAUAUGACCAAACUUUGUUUUCUUUCCAAGUAUGUUAAAUUUAUGGGAAAAUUUCGUAAACCUCCCCUGAGAUUUUAUGAAAUAUCACCUAGCUUCCUUGAGGUUUUCAAAAUUUCACUUAGCACCCCUCGAAUUGACAUUUUGGUAAAAUUGGAAGCCCUUCUAACCAAAGUAAUAUUAAAAAAUUCAUGUUUGAGAAGAGAGAUUAUUUUAGUGCCUUUAAUACCCUUAGACUAUAAAAAAUGGACAUUUUACAAACCAAGAAAAAAAAAAGUACUAAAUCAGAACCAUUUUAAAAGAAAGGAGAUGAAAAUUGGUAAGAUUUUAUGUUACAGUCAAUAGUCACUUCCACAAUAAGAAGAGAUGGUAAAAGCAAAUAUUAUUUUUUAAACCAUUUUUACAAAUAGAACCCCUUCAUAGCGUUGAAGGUAAUUAGCAUGUAAAAUCAUAUAUUUGAGCAAACAAAACUUAGUAAUAGAUGAAAUUCAACUUCAAUAUCAUACAAAGAAUUUACUCAAAAUAGACAGACUUUUUUUAUGGGUGCGAAAUAUGAAAAUUUUAUUAUAGAAAAAGUCAGAAUUUGAAAAAUUGUAGUCCGAAGUUUUAAUUACUUUAUUUCUCUUGCGCUCUACAUGAAUAGGAAUAAAUAAAUAAAGUUGUGAAACAUCAAAAAAAAGAAAAAAAUAAAAAGAACCUGCAACUAUUCUUCUCCAAAUGCGUUAAAUAUUUCAUUGAUUAAAUCCUAUAUUUUAUUGAUAUUUGCAAUUCAAUUAUACAUACACACACACACACAUAUAUAUAUAUGUAUGUAUGUAUGUUUGUUUGUUUGUUUGUUUGUAUAGACAUUGUUAAAGAAAAGUUGGAAAUUUAGGAAAAGAAAAACAAGUUUAUAAAAUUUAAAUAUGAGGGUAUUUUUGACAAUUCAUCACAUUUGAUAUUAGUAUAUGUCCCUACUAUCACUUCAAGGGUGCUACGUGAGAUUUUGAAAAGUUUAGGGGAGCUAGGUGAUAUUUCAUGAAACCUCAAGAGCGGUUUCUAAAAUUAUCCCUAAAUUUAUCCUUAAAUAUAUCUUAUUCCCUUUAUGUUUUGAGCGGUUUCUAAAAUUAUCCCUAAAUUUAUCCUUAAAUAUAUCUUAUUCCCUUUAUGUUUUGAGCACUUUAAUCCAAACUCCAAGCUGUCUUUUCAGCCAAUCGUGGGAGCUCCGCUGAAAUAUGAUAUUUGUUAGGUGAAAAAUAAAUUAAUAAAUUAAAACCAGAAGUCAUGAAGUCAACAUACAGAAUGGGAUAAAUUAUGGUAAAUUACUAUACGAGUCCGUUGUUCUAAAAUUUUAUCACACAAUCCCCCUAUUAUUCCACAAUAUCCAAUUGAUGCCCCGUGACUUUGUGUAAAAUUCAGAUUAGCCGAAAAGCAAGACCUAAUAAAUUACAAAGGAAUGUGCAUAGUUGUUUUAAAUUUGAAUACUCAUUAGUCGUCUCAAUGGUUUAUUAUUAUUAUUUUUUAAAAUAAAUCUGAAGACUAAAACUUCCAGGGAGACAAAAGGGAGUACUGGACUAUUGGCAAAUGGCAACAAAAUAGGGAACAAAUCAAAAUGAAUUGUUAUUCAAGAAUCAUAGAGAGUUUCAAAAACAAAAUUUUUUUUGAGAGCAAGCAAAUUAAUUAAGUUGUUACAUGGUAGUCCUUUUUAAGUAUAGAGCAAAACUAUGGCCCUUUGAGUGGAGCGGUUUUUACCAAUUUGGCUAAACGUUGCAAUUGCUAUGCUUAAUUUUGUUGUCGAUUUCGUGUGACUAUUUAAAAUUGGCAUGCCAUAAAGGCCGAAGAGUGGGAAUUGCUGUAUUAAAAUCCUAUAGGUUCGAUUAAACUUCGUAUUACCGUAUCAAAGUAGAGAAUAUGAGCAUAUCACUAACAACAAAAUGAGGUGAACGUAUUCAUUUCAUUUUUUUUCCUAACAAGGGAGGUAUGGGGGUUUAAGAAGUAGUGAGGGAAAAAGGGAAAUUAGAACGUAAAAGCUCUAUAUUUAGGGUCUCAACCUUCAAAUUUAGCCACUAAGCCAAUGUCUUCUCAGCGCAUAUUCAUUUCAUUUGAUGAUUCUAAGUGGCCUUGCGGUGGAUAGUUAAUCAGAGCCGGACUAUGACCUUAACCCUCAUUUGGAAAACAAUUUAGCUUUAAUUAUUUCAUGUAUUCAAAAUCGCAUUCAGGGCUGCAAUCAAAUUGACGUCACAAUUCGAUCUAGGUGACGGUGCAGCAAUUGCCAGUUGAAUCAUAGGCAUAUUUUAUAUUUACAAUAUCGAUUGUUAUGAAAAAAGAAGUCAGAAUCCAAUGAUGGAGCCAAGGGGGGCAGAGGGGGGCCAUGGCCCCCCCUAAGUUUUGAGAAUUUUAAUUCAUAAUAUGUAAAUAUGUGUGUAAAAUAAAAUUGGCCCCCCCUAAAUUUUUACAAUUUUAGUUUAUAUUAUGAAAGUUGAUAUAUAUAUAUAUAUUAGUCAUCUUUGAAUGGAAUGGCUUGCAAACUUUAAUUUGCCAUGAAUGUCCAUAUGCCUAUUACAUUCAUUGUUUGGCUCAUAGGCUUCAAUUUGCUUUAGUUGCAGCUUCUAGAGAAGUAGCUUCUGUUCACCAAUUCUUCUCCAAUUUAGUUUUCAUUAUCAACAUUGUUACUACAUCUAGCAAAUGUAAUGAUGAAUUAAAGGAGGCUCAAGCAAUUGAAGUUGCUACUAAGAUUGCUAAUGGUGAACUUGAAACUGGAAUGGGGCUUAAUCAAAUUGGCACUUUAAAACGAGCUGGAGAUACUCGUUGGGGUUCUCAUUUGGAUUUUAUUUCUAGUUUACUGAAAAUGUUCAAUGCUACUUGUGUGGUUUUAAGUAACAUUGCAGUAGAUGGAGGUUCAUACUCUCUAUGUGGAGAUGCAAAUUUUGUUUUGAAUCAGUUGUUAUCUUUUAAGUUUGUUUUCACUUUGCAUCUUAUGAAAGAUAUUGUGGAAAUUACUCAUCUUUUUUGUAUAGCAUUGCAACGUAAAUUUCAAGAUAUUUUGAAUGCAAUAUAUCUUGUCUCAAGCACAACAAAGCUACUGAAGAAUUUUCGAGAUUCAGGAUGGGAUGAUUUUUUGGUGAAAGUUAAAUUAUUUUUUGAGCAACAUCAAAUUGAUAUCCCAUGUAUGAAUGCUCAAUAUAUUGCAAGACGUGGUAGAUCUUGAAGUCAUCAUGAUGAGAUUAGUGUGGAGCAUUAUUAUCGAAUGGAUAUAUUUCUUGCAACAAUUGCGAGAGUUACAUAGCAAGUUUAAUGAUCAUACCGUGGAAUUGCUUGUUUUGAGUACUGCUUUAGAUCCUAGAAAUGGAUUUAUGCUGCUCAAGAUUGAUGAUAUUUGUAAACUUGCAGAGAAGUUCUAUCCGAAUGAUUUUAUGGAGCAAGAACUAGUACGUCUAAGAAUAGAACUUCAACAUUUUGAACUCGACAUUUCAAAUCAUCCUGAAUUGCAAGAAUUAUCUGGUAUUCAUGAGUUAUGCCAAGGCUUGGUGAAGACAAGAAAAUCAGUAAUAUAUCCUCUUAUUGAUAGAUUGAUUAGACUUGUUCUUACUCUUCUUGUAUCAACUGCAAUUACAGAGUGGACAUUUUCAAUUAUGAAAAUAAUCAAGACAAAACUCCAAAACAAGAUGGAAGAUAAUUUCUUGAAUGAUUGUCUAACUGUGUAUAUAGAAAAGGAAGUUGCUGAAAAAUUUAGCAGUGAUUCAAUCAUAGAUGAAUUUAGUUCUAUGAAAGAGUGUAGAGCUCAAUUUACUUUUAAGAAAAGAUGUUGAAAUUUCGAAGUAUGUUAACAUAACUUUUAUCUUUUUUCAAUUGAAAAUAGUUACAUUAUAUUAUAUAUAUAUAUAUAUAUAUAUAUAUAUAUAUAUAUAUAUAUAUAUAUAUAUAUAUUGCAUAGGUGACAUAUUGGAGAGUGUCUUCUCAUAAUGUGCAAAUUGGAUGGUUUGUGAUGCUAUAAGAUAUUUAAUCAAAGGUUAUCUUUUUUGUUAAUUUUUGUUAUGACUGUAUUGCAUAUUGAUGAAUAGACGUACCUUUAUAAUUAAAUUUAAUAUUUGAUAUUUUUAGAUGUGAUAUAUUUAAAUAGAAGAAAAUUAUUUUGAACAUAAUAUAUUAAGAUAAUUUUAUUAGGAAAAAAUUUUGGCCCCCCAAAAAAAAAUUCCUGGCUCCGUCACUGUCAGAAUCGGCUUUGAAAUUCAUUCUUGAUUGUUUCUAGCAGAAAAAAGAAGAAUGAGAAAAUAUUUUGGACCCACAGUAGAGCACAUUUAUGUCGAGUAACUACAUAGUAUUGCUAGCUAAGAAAAAUUAAAUGAAGAUUUAAAACGCCGACGUUAACUGUCUUGUCUCUUAUUCCUCCACUAUUCUUUUCUCUUAAAUUGAUAUUUCAACAAUCAUCAUAGCAUUUUAAACGAUAAUAACAAUAUAUAUAUAUAUAUAUAUAUAUAUAUAUAUGUAUAGCUAAUCAUAUUUUUUACACAUUUCCUCAGAGUUGCAUUAUGCAAAGGGUCAAACCACAAUAUUCUAAAAGUUUUGGUCUUAAAAGUCAUUCUCCUUUUAUUUGACUAAUUCUUCCUGCCGGCCUGCUUCUCUUCAGCCUAAAAUUGCUCCCCACUUGUUCGUAUUCUUCUUAUGUUCUAUUCCGCGACCUUUUCCAUUUCCUACAUUGUUAAACCGUGGAACGAAUUGCCAGCCUGCAAUGUUCAAGGCAAGCCCAUUUUAGAUCUAAGAGAAAAUAUCAAUCUUCAAAAAACUUCAUAGCAAAUUAAACAAAGAUUGAUAACAAGAUUUCUUGUUUUACAGUUUCUUCAAGAUCAAAUGAGCUCCAUACUGGGGUUGAAGAGUGAGCACAACUUGAGGAGCCUGUGCAUAACUCGGCGAAAGCUCCCAAGAAAAGCGCCGUAAGAUCAAAGCCAGCGCCAUCUUUGCUUCCAGCAUAGCAAAAUUUUGCCCCAUGCAAGUUCGAGGUCCCCAACCAAAUGGAAAGAACGAGAGAUUGCCUUUUGUAGCCUUUGAAACUCCUUCACUGAAUCUUUCUGGAUUAAAUUCCUUCGCAUAUCACCCCACACAGCGACGGAGCCAGGAUUUUUUUCAUGGGGGGCCAAAAUUUAUCAAAUAUAUGGCAUCUUAAAAUAUCAAAUAUUAACUUUAAUUAUAAAGAUAUGUCUAUUUCAUAAAUAUGUAGCAUAGUCAUAACUAAAAUUAAGACAAGAAAUAACCUUUGAUUAAAUAUCUUAUAAUAUCACAAAUCACCUAAGUUGCACAUUAUGAGAAGAUGCUCCAAUAUGUCACUUGUGCAAAAACAAAAAUAUAACUAUGCAAUAUAAAUAUAACUAUUUUCAAUUAAAAAGAGAUAAAAAUUAUGUUAACAUAUCUUGAAAUUUCAUCCUCUUUUAUUAAACGUAAAUUGAGCUUUACGUUCUUUCAUAGAACUAAAUUCAUCUAUAAUUGAAUUAAUGCUAAAUUUUCGAACAACUUCCUUUUUUUAUGUACAUUGUUAGACAAUCAUUCAAAAAAUUAUCUUUUAUCUUGUUUUGGAGUUUUGUUUUGAUUAUCUUCAUAAUUGAAAAUGUCCAUUUUAUAGACUAUAGAACGAAGCAAGGAUUUUUUCCUUGGGAGGGGGGCCAAAAUUUUUUUUAACAAAAUUAUCUUAAUAUGUUAUAUUCAAAAUAAUUUUCAUCGAUUUAAAUAUAUGACAUCUUAAAAUAUCAAAUAUUAAAUUUAAUUAUAAAGGUAUGUUUAUUUCAUAAAUAUGCAGCAUAGUCAUAACAAAAAUUAGGACAAGAAAUAACAUUUGAUUAAAUAUCUUAUAACAUUACAAACUAUCCAAAUUGUACAUUAUGAGAAGAUGAUCCAAUACGUCACUUGUGCAAAAAUAAAAAUAUAACUAUGCAAUAUAAAUAUAAAUAUUUUCAAUUAAAAAAAGAUAAAAGUUAUUUUAGCAUACCUUGAAAUUUUAACCUAUUUUCUUAAAAGUAAAUUGAGCUUUACAUUAUUUCAUAUAACUAAAUUCAUCUAUAAUUGAAUCAGUGCUAAAUUUUUGAACAACUUCCCUUUUUUUAUGUAUAUUGUUAGACAAUUAUUCAAGAAAUUAUCUUUUAUCUUGUUUGCAGUUUUGUUUUGAUUAUAUUUAUAAUUGAAAAUGUCUGUUCUAUAGUAGUAGUUGAUACAUGAAGAGUGAAAACAAAUAUAAUCAAUCUGUUAACAACAUGAUAGAUCACUCAAUUUCUUGUUUUUACCAAGCCUUCAAGUAAUUAUUUGUAUAUUUGUAUAUGGGUCCACAAGAGGAUAGAUCACUAAUUUUAAAUUUUUUUUAUCAAUUAGGCUAAGUUGUAUAUUUGUAUAUGGACCAAUAAAGUAAUUAUUUUUAUUUUAGCCCAUUCAUAAUUAUGAAUUGAGUCUUUUAUUAUAAUAUAUCAAACUGGGUCAAUUUACUAUGGAUCAUCAAAUUAUAUGUUUAAUUUUUUGAAUGUUAAAUAAUUAGCACAAUAAAAAAUAAAUAACUUUUUUUGAAGAAAAAAUUAAAUCAAAAGUGGCUAAUUCACACACACACACACACACAUAUAUAAACUCUCAGUAUAUAAACUAAAAUUGUAAAAAAUUAGGGGGUCAACUUUGUUUUAUACAUAUAUUUACAUACUAUGAAUUAAAAAUUCAAAACUUAUGGGGGAUCAUGGCCCCCUCAGCCCCCUUGGCUCCAUCAUUGACCCCACAAGUCUUUGUCCUGCUGCAGCAAGACUGGGGCCACAAAGAUGAACAUUCCUUCUGGAAGUGACAGUUCGCCUAAUUUAGUUUCUUCGGGAAUCAUUCGAAAAAGAUUUGCUGCCGGUGGAUAUAGCCUUAGAACCUCGUUAAGGAUCAUGGUAACCUUUAGAAAAAUAAACGUAAACAGAAGAAUGAUUAGUGGAGAUUGGAUCAACUAUCAAAAAAGUGCUAAGAUGGGAGCAUAAUUUUGCAAGUUAUACUUACAAUUUUGAGGUGAUUUAAUUUACUAAUAUCAGGUUCAUUGUUGUCAAAAACCUGUAGAACCUCAUCUCUGGCACGAGCCUGCCAAUCAAAAUGUUGACUCAAUAAAAUUAAUGUCCAGGCGAGCAAUCCUGAGGUUGUCUCUUGUCCAGCCAAAUAGAAUAGCUUGCACUCCUCAAUGACUUCUUCAAGGCUCAUGCAGUUCUUAUUUCCAUGUUGUCGGAUCUCAUUAAAAUUGGAUUCCAAUAAAAUACGCAACAAGUCAUCACUUGUAGCUUCACCUGUUUGAAUUUCCUUCAGCCUUUCGUUGAUAUUGCCCAUAACUAAUGAGUUUACUUCCUUGAAAAUCUUCUGCAUUCUUUUGUUUCUUUCUGUUGGCACAAAACUGAAUGCAAAAUAGCAAUAACCAAAUAAGCUAAAUGAUACAAUUACAAACUAGAAAUUGAAAGACAGUACCGUACCUCCACCCUGGAAGGCAAAUGGAUUGCAUAACUUGCUCAAUAUACAAAGCCUGUUCUCUUUGGAGUUCAAAGAUCCUUCGCCCUUUUUCAUGGUUGCUACCAAAAGCUGUUCUUGAAAUUACAUCACCAGUAAAUGUUUGAAGCUAAGGCCACACAUCUAAUUCAAAAGAUCCUUCUGCGGAGGCAAGGUUCUCCCAUUUGCUUAACAUCUCAUUACAACUCAGAUAAAAUGCUGGCACCAUGUACUACAUGUGAAGAAGAAUCAACAGCGUAAGUCUUCCAGCUUUUAUGUUCUUCAUUAAUCAAAAAGUAAGAAUGGAAAUAUUAUUCAGUGAAAUUUUAAAAUUGGAAAGGCUGCAUUUGGUUCUUUAUCUGGACUAGAUUGGAACCAUAACUACAUUUAUAUGAUGCAAUACCAAACACUAGCCAGUCCCAUGUCUGAUAAAUAACAAGAAACGUUCAAAAGCGUGUAAGAUAUUGAAACAGCACCAAAUUUCAGCAGAAAAAGCUAGAAACAACCUUCAAUUUCUCUACAUGAAAUGCAGGAUUCAAUAAUCUUCUGUGUUUGGCCCAUUUUUCUGUAUCCAGGCUAGCAAGUCCUAGUGCUAGAAGUUUACUGAUUGGAUUUGCCCGAGGCUUCUGACAAGUACAAAUUUUUUUGUGAAGACCUAAUUUACUUGUUCAGGAUCCAAGAUAACCAUUGCCGGCCUUGGUCCAAGCCAAAAAAAGCUAUUUUUACCUACAAAAUAAUUUUUGAUAAGCAACUUAUCCACUCUUUUAAAAAAAAGAUUGGGUCAACCCAUAUAUGAAAUGCAUGAUUGCCGAAAAAACACAGCAAACCAAAUAGUCUUCGGGCAAAUUUGGAGAACAAACCUUUAUGUUGCAUUGUUUCAUUGAUGAAGGGCAUGAUUCUAGGCAGGAUAUCAUCUGUUAAAGAAAUUGGUUUGGACUUAGCCUCCUCAAGCAUCCUUCCCAUGUCUCUGGUGUCUCCAAACAAGAACCCGUAAGAGUUUCCCUGUAGACCUUGCCGCCUGAGGCGUUUCUCCAUCUUCUUUGGUGUGAUCCAAGCCCAAUUCAAGAAUCUCCAUGCCCCGAUGAGAAGAACUAUAACUGAUGAAGCUCCAAUCGAGCUAUAGAAAAAGUCCAUUUUCUCUGAUGCGCUUCCACUCCUUCAGUCAAACUUUCUGCUGGCAGGGGGAACUUGCUAAGCGGUUAGUUAUUAAGGAGGGAGAACCUCAACUUUGGGACACAUCAUUCUGAAAUCUAUGCAUAUCCAUCUGUAAAAUCGGUAAAGACAAAGUAGCUUGAAGGUAUGUUCUAUGUUUACGGCAUCUGCAUAAAUGGAGAUGCUCUGCGACUUCAACACUCACCUAUAAAGGACAUUUGAGCCUUUAUUAUUCUUGUUUAUGGUAAAAUGAUUUUUCUACUCGUUCACUUAAAUUACGCUUAAUUUACUAUAUGAACACACAUAAUACAAUUAUUAUAUCCUCUGUAUUUAAACGCUUUCCUGGUAACUACACUUUUUGUAAAAAUAUUAGCACUCUUGAGGCCCUCCUGACAAAUCAACAAAGCUAGAUUAUCCUGCAAACCUGGCAAAUCACCAUCAAAAGUCUUUUUCUAUCUGCCUUCUAGAAAGGAGUCAGUUCAAUAAAUAGAACUUGAGAAUUUGACUUUUGAUUUACCGUAAAGAAGAAGAAGAAAACUUCAACCGGCCAACUCGUCUGAACAGUCAUCCAUGGCUAUUGUUAGAAUAGCUAAUCUUUGAGCAGUCAUCCAUGGCUAUUAUUAAUGUGCUAAUGAGUAAUAACAAUUUGCACCCCUCAUCUGAACCAUAAACAAUUAAUUGUAGCACUGUUGAACAAAAAAGUAAUUGUAGCACUAAAGUGCAUUGUGUUUUUGCUGGAAUCUAUUUAAAGAAAAAACAUUUUGUGGCUACAGUCAAAUGAAAAGAUUUUAGUACCCUAAUGUAAUAGAUGCAGAUUAGGAGUAUCAAAGUCCUUUUCAUUUAAAAAUAGCAAGGGAAAUUCAAGGGUUUGCAAAUUAGCUAAACAAAGUGCUGCAAAUUGAUAGCACGAGGUACAGAAGUCCUAAAACUGAUAAUUGAAGAUAGUUUAGGGGAAAAUGCUGCAAUAAGCUUUGGAUGUAAUUUUAAAUACUUGAGCAUGAGAAGGUCGCAUGUAGAACUAUAUCUAAGGAUCAAGAAUUUUGAUGCGAAAAAUGGCGAAUUUUUUUGUUACAGUCUUGACUCUCAAUGGUUUGGAAACAAAAGAUCAAUGUGAAAUUUGUUUUUGAUCAACUGCGUCCUAUAAUGCAGUCCUUUUUAACCUAUUAACAUUAAUACUUUGCAAAAUAGCAGUAACUCCAAAAUCUUAUUGUAAUUGCACCAAAAGUUUAUUAAACCUUACAGAAGCAGCAACCUAAAAGGCUAGCAAGAUAAGCAACAUGUAGCAAUUACAGAAGUCCUGGAAUCGCUGGCGUUCAUGAAGGAGAUGAUUCAGAUAACAGAUUUAUUUUACAGUUUCUUCAUAAUCAACUGAGUACCAUACUGAGGAUGAAGCAGGGUAAGAAACAAGUAUAGGGCAUGCGUAUACAAUGGAGAAAGCUCAAAGGAAAAGCGCUGUAAAAUUAAAGCUAAUGCCAUUUUUGCUUCAAGCAGAGCAAAGUUUUGCCCAAUGCACAUCCGAGGUCCCCCACCAAAUGGCACAAAACACGGCUGGCCCUUAGUAGCCUUUGCAACUCCCUCGCUAAAUCUCUCCGGGUUGAAUUCCUUUGCAUCAUCACCCCAUAAACUUGGAUCAUGAAGUAGCAAGAUUGAAGGCAUCAAGACAAUCAUUCCAGCAGGUGGAGAUUAGUUCCCCUAAUUUAGUGUCUUCGUUAACCCUCCGGGAAAUCAUAACUCCUGGCGUAUAUAGUCUUGGAACCUCAUUAAGGAUCAUAGUCACCUGUAAAAGAAGAAUUACAAACCGAUGCUUAAAUGGAGUGUGAACUUCGUUCCAAGAGAAGAAAAUUGUAAGAUAACUAUCCAGACAAUGUCAACUAAUAGCUGUUGCCUACUAGAAAGCAGAAACAUUACACUACACUCGGAUAUCGUUGUGCUUCAGGUAAUGGCAAAAGUAAAACAUGUCCUGAGUGAAUGGAAUGUUAAGCUAUGAUAUUCCUUAUGAAGUCUUCUGCAUCCGAACCCACGAAACUAAUUAUUCAUCAAAAGAGAACCUAAAAAACAAGUCUGAAAUGUGGCCAACAUUCAUGAAAUUCGAGUUUAGUCACUGCAGAUUGGUGAAACAAAACUGAAAUUCUUGAAUAAUAUCAAACUAUUCUGUCAUCAGAGCUUGUCCUCUUGAUAAAUUGAAGCUACUUACAAUUUUCAGCCAAUUUAAAUCUUCAAAAUCCGGUAUAUUGUUGCCAAAGACCUGAAGAAUCCCAUCCCUAGCACGAGCUUGCCAGUCUGAAUGCUUGCUCAACAAAAUUAGCGUCCACACAAGCAAGAUUGCAGUUGUCUCAUGUCCAGCAAAAAAGAACAGCUUGCACUCCUGAAUGACCUCUUCAGAAGUCAUCCCAAACCUUUCAUUCCCAUGUUCUUGGAUCUCCUUGAAGUUGGGUUCUAGAAGUAAACCCAACAUGUCACUAUGAAAAUUUUCUUCAUAUUUUUUGUUUCUUUUACGGAAUAUCUAGUAAUGUGAUAGGACGAUUUUCUGCAGCAAAUCAGCCUUGGAUUGAUCUCUUUAUAGAUUAAGAGAUGUCACAUGUUGGUUAUAAUCAUCCAAGUGAUGACCUUUCAUUACUAAAGUUGUUACUUCUAUUCUAAUAGUACUUGAAUGAUUAAUUGUUGUACUUCACACUUGAAUGAACAGCCACAAAUUUUGUUAUUUUGUGAACCUUGAAACCUUUCAUCUUUUGAAAAUCUCCGACAAAUUCAUGGUGAUUAAAAAUUUUGCAAAUAAAGUCAACUCAACUGAGAUAAUUUGAUUCUCUGUAGUUUAAUUUCUUCAACAAAUGUUUGACCAGGAAGAAAAAAUGGUGAGUAUAGCCUUAAAACCUCAUGCAAGAUCAUUGUGAUAUGUGAGAAAUGGAAGGAGACUACUUAAGACAAUUUAUUGGCAUAUGAGAAGCUGCAACCUAUCAUGAGUUGACUUAUAUCUUUUAGGUUAAAAGUUCUUUUACGUACAAUAUGCCAUAGAUUUUGGUAUAUAAUUGACUUAAAAUCUUUUAGGUUAUACAGACCAUCAAAUUGUGAUAUUUUUGGUCCCAGCAAUGUGUUGCAAAAUCUAUUCUCUAGCACGUUCUUGCUAGUCUGGGCAGAUGCUGAAUACAACAGCUUACACUCUUCAAUAAUUUCUCUUGUAAUCGCACAGAAUUUCGUCUUGUCUAAGCUGCAUUGGAGAUCCACUUACCACGAAGAAAUAUUUUUGAAUACUAGCUAAUAAGAUUUACAGACUACUGAUUAAUGUUUGAGAACAGCUGUUAAAUGAUUUUAAGCCAUGACAAGCCAUUUGUUUUCUCCAUUAUCAAAGAAAAAGGAAAGAUCUCUUGCAAAAUUAAACAAGCAGAUGUAAUAUUUCUCUCUUAAUUUGCCGUGAGAAAUACAUUACGUGAAUCUGUACUGCUAUAUUCAUACAGAUCCAUUGACAUACCGAACUGGGCGGGACUUAAACUAGUUUACAAGCAAAGUUAAGCAUAGAAGAUGGUGCUUUAUUUCGUUAAAAGAUAAUCUGCUGCCACAUACCGGGCUAGCAAGUCAAGUCAUAUAUAUGAAACAACAAAAACUAUAUUAUCUUCUGCAAAAUCAAGUGAGCUCCAUACUGGGGUUGAAUUAGUGCUGUAGCCGUUCCAGGAGCAUGAGUAUAAGAUGGUGAGAGUUCAAAGGAGAAGCGUUGCAGAAUCAUAGACAUUGCCAAUUUUGCUUCCAACAUGGCAAAAUUUUGUCCAAUGCAAAUGCGAGGUCCCCAGCCAAAUGGAAAGUAUGCAACCUGGCCCUUUGUUGCAUGUGAUACUCCUUCAGCAAACCUCUCAGGCUUGAAUUCUUUCACGUCCUCGCCCCAUAUAUCAGGGUCAUGAUGCAUCAGCAUUAUUGGCAACGUGAUUUGCACUCCAGCCGGGAGAGUUAAAUUUCCUAAUUUAGUUUCUUGAGUAGUUCCUCGACUCAUUAUAGGCACUGGUGGAUACAACCUUAAAACCUCAUGCAAGAUCAUGGUGACCUAUGAGAAGGGGACCAAAAAAAAAAUGUGAGCGUAAUUGGGAUGUCUAUGUAGAUGAGAAGCUUCGAUGAACUUCGUUAGUAUGUCUCUCCUGCCAUUAGUGCAAUUUUCAAAUCAAUGAAAUGAUCAUUGCUAAUUUUAUGUUUUUCAAAGAAAAAGAUUGGCUUACAAUUUUGAGGUGAUUUAACCCCUCAAAGUCCGGAUCCUUAGUUCCAAAUUGUUGCAGGACCUCCUCUCUAGCACGUGCCUGCCAUUCGGGGUACCUGCAGAGUAAGACCAUUGUCCAAACGAGUAGCCCUGAAGUAGUCUCCUGGCCAGCCAAAUAGAACAGCUUGCACUCAUCAACAAUUUCUUCGGUAGUCAUACCAAAGUCCUUGUUUCCAUGCUUCUCGAUUUCUUGAGAAUUGGAUUGAAGCAUUAAUCCCAACAAGUCAUCAGAGCCGGCUUCUCCUGCUCUCAUUGCCUUUCUUCUUGUGUUGAUCAUUUCCCUUACUGAACCAUUAACUUCUCUGGUAAUUUGUUUCAUUCUUCUGUUCCUCUUGGUUGGCAAGAACCUAACAAAGAUCAUAGUUUAGCCAAAAAAAAAAAAAGCAAGAACAAACUAUGUUUGCAGCAAUGUUUUUGGCUCCAUUUUUAAAUCACUUAGGCGCAUCUCAAAUGUUAAAAUGCCCAUCUAAGGCAGUCUUUCAUGAUUAUUGUCCAAUCAUGAUUUUCAAAGCAUUGAUUUCUAGGAGUCACAAUUUUCUACAGCGCUCAAGAAUUCAUGAUCAAUCUACCUAAAUCCUGGGAUGUUGAUGUACACCGACCGUGCUGCCUGCAUCAAAUGCUCAGUUUGCUCUCUCUGGAGCUCAAAGAUCCUUCUUCCUUCUUCAUAGUUGCUGCCAAAUGCUGUACGAGAAAUUGCAUCGCUGGUAAGAGCCUGAAGAUUGGGCCAAACAUCCACUUCAGCCAACCCCUUUGGUGAAAUAACAUUCUCCCAUUUCGUCACCAUCUCACUUGCACUUUUAUAGAAGGCUGGGAGCAUAAGCUGUUUAUCCAUAAAAUAAAAGAAAAUCAGUGAAAGAAACUACUCCACAUUGAAGGCUACUUAGUAAAUAAAUGAUGCAAUUUACCAAGGACUGUCCAAUGCAGAGAGUGUUUUCAAUUUUAGGAUAUAAUAAGUGUGUGUGUGUGAAUUUAUAUGAUAAUUUUACUAUAAUUUACUCGCACUAAUGAGUAUUUACAGGUCAUCCGUUCAAAAAAAAAAAGAUUAAUCUUUUCUACACUGUCAGUCAGUCAGUGUAUACACAGACGGAGUUGAAUGAAUACCACAUCAUAUGAAUUUGAAACCCCAUAAAAUGAUUAAAUUAGAGAGAAGAGAACCUUCAAUUUCUCAACGUGGAAAGCUGGGUUGAGGAGCUUUCUCUGUUUGGCCCAUUUUUCUCCCUCAUAGCUCACUAGUCCUAGAGCCAGUAAUCUGCCGAGUGGAUGAACACGGAGCUUCCGGAAAACAUCAACCUUUUGUGUAACUGCCUUUAUUAGAUUAGGGUCCAUGAUCACCACGGCAGGUCUCGGCCCAAACCAUAAAUAUGUAUUUUUACCUGGAAGUCAGAGCCGCUUGGAUUAGGAGCCCAAAACUGGAAAGUAUAAAUAGUUAAAUGCCUUCCACUAGGAAAGGAUAAUAAAAUCAAGUGUUUCAAAAAAUAAAAAUACAAGGCCAAAGUAUUAAAAUAAUUCAAGUUCUACAAAACUUUUUUUUUCUUUUUUUGCAUCAAUCAACCUAAUAAACUAUUUAAAGUGAUUCAAAAUCUUCGAUUAAGUUAACUGGAAAUCUAUUCAGAAUGUCAAGUACGAGCAAUUGUCAAGGAUAAAAUUGACAUUUCUUCUCAUCCACCUCCCUAAUCGACUAAAAUUCUUCAUUCUCAUCAAGUUAGCUCCCAAAACCUUGAGAAUUUGGUUUUAAACGAUUGGAAAAGAUGGAUGAGACAAAAUGUCAUUUUUGUUCCUGCCAAAUUGCACACAUCCAUUAGCUUGGCGGGAGAUGUUGACGGGAUGGACUGAUUGAAACUUUUGAGUACUAUGAUCAAAAAAAAAAAUGGUUUCUAUGAGAAUUGUUGUAGUUUGGGGGGUUAUAGUGCACUUUAUCGAAAAAAGAAUUGAAAAAAGAUUCACAAAGAUAGUAAAACAAACAAACCAAAAAUAGAAAUUAAAAGAAAACAAGAAAGGAAACUUGAAGUCUAAAGUUUAUUGGGAGCAUAGAUUUUUGUCGGAACUAAAAUAAUCCUCGUUUUGUUUAUUUGAUCAUUUGAUUGCUUAUUUAAUCUGAUCAUAAUUGAUUUCAAAUUCAAGAUUCAAUCUUCAUUGUCAAAUGACAUGCAGAAUUACUGAUAAUCAAUUAAUUAUUAGGAUGUCCAUAUUCUAGUAGGACGAAAUAAUAAAUAUCAGCUGUAUUGAGGCCCUUUAUGACAAUUCCAAGUUGCAAAACAAUAACAAACGGAAAAAAAAAUACAAAAAGACCAAGAAAAACGACCAUCCUAAAAUACAAAAGCUGAAAGGGAAAUCAUAUACCCUAAUACUAUAAUAUUACUCGUAUUUAAGCACGAAAUACAUCAGGAGGUAAAUGAUAUUCUAUCUAACCAAAAGCAGAAAAAAGGAAAAAAAAAAUGGAGAUCAUACGAGGGGCAAAAGAGGUUACGAGGCAAAGAGAUGGAAGCAGAGUUGACAAGAACAAUAAAUACUACCAUAUUUCUUAACGGCUCCAAGAUAUUGAGGAAUAACUCUUGGUACGAUGUCGUCGGAGAGAUUAAGAUUCUUGGACUGGGCUUCUGUGUACAGGGUCGACAUCUCUUUGAAGUCUCCAUGGAGCAGCUUGUAAGGGUUUCCCCGGAAACCUUGCUCUUUCAGAUGUUUCUCCAGCUUCUUCGGUCUAAACCAUACCCAGUUCAAAGCUUUCCAUGAGACUACUACUACUAACAGAAGAAGAAGAAGAAGACAAGAAGAAUACACAGUAAAGGUUGAGACAUAGGUGGCUUCCAUGUUGUGUUUUUGUUUUGUUGGUUUUCUUGUGAGAUUUCUACCUUUGUCGAGUGCAAAUUUACAUUCAGGUUGGGGCGAUGAUAACCUUUGGUCUUGUGCGUCCGCACGGCUAUCCGUUUAUUACUUGGAGAAGGGAGAAAAGGAGGAACUUUCAGCUCAGCAUAGCAUGAUUGACUUGGUACAAGUUUCUAUGUUACCAUGUGAUAAGAGAGUACACGAGAAUUUGGAGCCUAUAUCUAUAUAUAUAUUUCUCGGAUUUUAGAGCAAAGUUUUUUUUUUUUUUUUUUUUUUUGGGUGCAAUUGAGAGGACCUCCAAGCCAAUUUAAUUUAACUGGACCUUUAAGGCAAUUUAAUUAGAAGAACAAUUUUGUCACAGAAUUAGAAGGAUAUUCGAACUUUGCAUAAACCCUAUCGGAAAAACAAACAUAGAGUGGAAAUUUUAAUUAAAGGCUAAAUUUUUAUGUGCUUUAAAAUGUUGAACAGUUAUUUUUCUUUGGUAAGUAAAUUUCUGAACAAUUAUUUUUGUACAGAAACACUAAAAAUUUUGCUAAACUUAAAACGUUACAUGUGUUCAAAUCUCUCCUUUUCCUUUCUCAUUUUUUAAAUACCACCCCUUCCUUAUAUGUGUGAAUGUAGAGGACGUGACAUUUAAAGCACACAUAGAAAACACUUUCAAUUGUAGAUAAUUCUUAAGUACACUAAACUUCGAAAAUGUUAUGAACAUGGCUGUAUUGAGUGUAGAAUUUUAUGUGGUGGAACUGAAUAAAAUUUCUGUGGCAUUUCUGUGAGUUUUAGGUGGAAAUCAUAAAUAUGGUAGUGUGACAGCUAAAGUAGACAGACUGAGACAGCUUAGGAAACUGGCUAGCAAGGUCAGAUGUUCUAGAAGAACAGAAUAGACUAGACAAUGAAACGCGCACUCAAUUUCAACAAAUUGAUUAAUAUUGUACUGGCAACAACCAAGCUGUGUCAGCAGUUAUUGAAGGCAUCUGGAAGAAACUAUUGAAAGUGGAAAAUUCAUUUGCAAAAAAUUCAUUUUAUAGGAGGUUGAAAGAGCAGAACAUUAUUAUAAUUGUUCAAAAAUCAUGAUGCAUUAAUUAGCUGUGACACUGCGAUUAAUUAGCUUAAGAAAGAUAUGGAAUUUGCAAAAUCAAAUAUUUUAGACGAAAUCAAUUUUAUGUACAGGGUUAGCAUAAAUUUCAACAAUCCUCUGAUUUUAAUGCCUAAAUAUUCAAUUAUUACAUGGGAAAAAUCUGGAACAUGGAAUGAGUCAAACUAAGUGUUCGGAUAGGAGAUUAUUUGGGAUAAUUUUUUAAAAAAAUAUUAUAUCAUAAUUUUUUUUGAUGUGAUGUAUAUGAGAUAAAAAAAAUAAUUAAAAAAUACGUUAAUAAUGAAAAUAAAUAAAUCUCAAUGAACAAAGCACUAUCCAAACAAAAAUACAAACUAGAUGACCUAUGCCAUGACGAUGGCAGAUAAUCCUUCUCGAGGAAAAAUAUGCCCAAGCUUUGUUUUCUUUCCAAGUAUGUUAAAUUUAUCCUUAAAUAUAUCUAUGCCCUUUAUGUUUUGAGCUGUCCAAACUGUCUUUUCCUCUUGCCGUGGGAGCUGAGCUGAAAUAUGAUAAUCGGCUCUGUUUGGAUUGUAAAUUAUUUGAGAUAUUUUUACUGUAGCAUUUUUUAUGAUAUGAUGUAUGUGAGAUAAAAAGGUAAUUAGAAAGAUAAAAAGAUGUGUUGAAAAUUGUUAUGAUGAUGUAAGCAAAUAAAUUUUGGUAAAUAAUCCUCAAUCCAAACAAACCUAUGAGGUGAAAAAUAAACUAAUAAAUUAAAACCUGAAGUCAUGAAGUCAACAUACAGAAUGGGGUAAAUUAUGGUAAAUUACUAUACCAGCCCGUUCUUCUAAAAUUUUUAUCACACAAUCUCCCUAUUAUUCCACAAUAUCCAAUUGAUGCCCCGUGACUUUGUGUAAAAGCAAGACCUAAUAAAUUACAAAGGAAUGUGCAUAGUUGUUUUAAAUUUGAAUACCUCAUUAGUGGUCUCAAUGGUUUAUUAUUAUUAUUUUUCAAAAUAAAUCUGAAGACUAAUAAUUUCGGGGAGAGUUAGAUGUCUUUAAAUGGAAAGUACAUGUAGAAGGACAAAAAGGAGUACUGGCAAAUGGCAACAAAAUAGGGAACAAAUCAAAAUGAAUUUUAUUCAAGAAUCAUAGAGAGUUCCUAAAACAAAAUUUUUUUUUUUUUGAGAGCAAGCAGAUUAAUUAAGUUGUUAUAUGGUAGUCCUUUUUAAGUAUAGAGCAAAACUAUAGCCCUUUGAGUAGAGUGGUUUUUACCAAUUUGGCUAAACUUUGCAAUUGUUGUGCUUAAUUUUGUUGUCGAUUUCGUGUGACUAUUUACAAUUGGCAUGCCAAAAAGGCCGAAGAGUGGGAAUUGCUGUAUUAAAAUUAUAUAGUUCCAAUUAAAUUUCGUAUUACCGUCUUAAAGUAGAGAAAAUGAGCAUAUCACUAAUAGCAAAAUGAGGUUAACAUAUUCAUUUCAUUUUUUUUUCCUAGUAGGGGAGGUGUGAGGGUUUAAGAAGUAGCAAGGGAAAAAGGGAGAUUAGAACCUAAAAACUCUAUAUUCAGGGUCUCAACCUUCAAAUUUAGCCACUAAGCCAAUGUCUUCUCGGCGCAUAUUCAUUUCAUUUGAUGAUUCUAAGUGACCUUGCAGUGGAUAGUUAAUCAGAGCCGGACUAUGAUAUCGAUUGCCGCCUGAAAUUGCAGUUGAAUCAUAGGCAAAUUUAUGAUAUCGAUUGUUAUGAAAAAGAAGUCAGAAUCGGCAUUGAAAUUCAUUCUUGGUUGUUUCUAGCAGAAAAAAGAAGAAUGAGAAAAUAUUUUGGACCCACAUUAUAGCACAUUUAUGUCGAGUAACUACAUAGUAGUGCUAGCCAAAAAAAAAUCAAAUGAAGAUUUAAAACACUGCGUUAACUGUUUUGUCUUUUAUUCUCCCGUUAUUCUGUUCUCUUAAAUUGAUAUUUCAACAAUCAUUAUAACAUUUUAAACGAUAAUAACAAUAUAUUCAUAUAUAUAUAUAUAUAUAUAUAUAUAUAUAAAUAGGUAAUCAUAUUUUUUACACAUUUCCUCAGAGUUGCAUUAUGCAAAAGGUCAAACCACAAUAUUCUAAAAGUUUUGGUCUUAAAAGUCAUUCUCCUUUUAUUUGACUAAUUCUUCCUGCCGGCCUACUUCUCUUCGGCCUAAAAUUGCUCCCCACUUGUUCGUAUUCUUCUUAUGUUCUAUUCCGCGACCUUUUCCAUUUCCUACAUUGUUAAGCCGUGGAACGAAUUGCGAGCCUGCAAUGUUCAAAAUAUCAAUCUUCAAAUAACUUCAUAGCAAAUUAAACAAAGAUUGAUAACAAGAUUUCUUGUUUUACAGUUUCUUCAAGAUCAAAUGAGCUCCAUACUGGGGUUGAAGAGUGAGCACAACUUGAGGAGCAUGUGCAUAACUCGGCGAAAGCUCCCAAGAAAAGCGCCGUAAGAUCAAAGCCAGCGCCAUCUUUGCUUCCAGCAUAGCAAAAUUUUGCCCAAUGCAAGUUCGAGGUCCCCAACCAAAUGGAAAGAACGAGAGAUUGCCUUUUGUAGCCUUUGAAACUCCCUCACUGAAUCUUUCUGGAUUAAAUUCCUUCGCAUCAUCACCCCACAAGUCUUUGUCCUGCUGCAGCAAGAUUGGGGCCACAAAGAUGAACAUUCCUUCGGGCAGUGAUAGUUCGCCUAAUUUAGUUUCUUCGGGAAUCAUUCGAAAAAGAUUUGCUGCCGGUGGAUAUAGCCUUAGAACCUCGUUAAGGAUCAUGGUAACCUUUAGAAAAAUAAACGUAAACAGAAGAAUGAUUAGUGGAGAUUGGAUCAACUAUCAAAAAAGUGCUAAGAUGGGAACAUAAUUUUGCAAGUUAUACUUACAAUUUUGAGGUGAUUUAAUUUACUAAUAUCAGGUUCAUUGUUGUCAAAAACCUGUAGAACCUCAUCCCUGGCACGAGCCUGCCAAUCAAAAUGUUGACUCAAUAAAAUUAAUGUCCAGGCGAGCAAUCCUGAGGUUGUCUCUUGUCCAGCCAAAUAGAAUAGCUUGCACUCCUCGAUGACUUCUUCAAGGCUCAUGCCGUUCUUAUUUCCAUGUUGUCGGAUCUCAUUCAAAUUGGAUUCCAAUAAAAUACCCAAC